GGGGAUUUAGCUCAGUGGUAGAGCGCUUGCCUAGCAAGCACAAGGCCCUGGGUUCGGUCCCCAGCUCG
rfam:Rattus norvegicus chromosome 5, whole genome shotgun sequence.